rnacentral:rRNA from 1 species
AUUGAACGCUGGCGGCAUGCCUUACACAUGCAAGUCGAACGGCAGCGGGGGAGAAGCUUGCUUUUCCUGCCGGCGAGCGGCGAACGGGUGAGUAAUACAUCGGAACGUGCCCUGUAGUGGGGGAUAACUAGUCGAAAGAUUAGCUAAUACCGCAUACGACCUGAGGGUGAAAGUGGGGGACCGCAAGGCCUCAUGCUAUAGGAGCGGCCGAUGUCUGAUUAGCUAGUUGGUGGGGUAAAGGCCUACCAAGGCGACGAUCAGUAGCUGGUCUGAGAGGACGAUCAGCCACACUGGGACUGAGACACGGCCCAGACUCCUACGGGAGGCAGCAGUGGGGAAUUUUGGACAAUGGGCGAAAGCCUGAUCCAGCAAUGCCGCGUGUGUGAAGAAGGCCUUCGGGUUGUAAAGCACUUUUGUCCGGAAAGAAAUGGCUCUGGUUACUACCUGGGGUCGAUGACGGUACCGGAAGAAUAAGGACCGGCUAACUACGUGCCAGCCGCCGCAGUAA